UUCUUCAAAAAAAUUUUUUUAAAAAAAUUAAUUAAUUAAAAGGAACUCGGCAAACUUAGUUGCUUCGCCUGUUUAUCAAAAACAUGGCUCUCUGCUUAUAUAAAUAUAGGGAGUCGAGCCUGCCCAGUGAAUUUUUUAACGGCCGCGGUACUCUGACCGUGCAAAGGUAGCAUAAUCAUUUGCCUUAUAAUUGAAGGCUAGUAUGAAUGGUUUGACGAGAGCAACGCUGUCUCUUUUUUAUUUCCAAGAACUUAACUUUUAGGUGAAGAGGCCUAAAUUUUAUUGAAGGACAAGAAGACCCUGUCGAGCUUAAAAGACAUUAUAGAAGUCUAUAUAUAUUUUAAAUAAAUUUUCUAUUAAGCUUUUUAGUUGGGGCGACUAAGGAACAAAAAAAGCUUCUUGUUAACGAUAAACAAUCAUGUUUAGAUCCGAUAAUAAUCGAUCGGGGGAAUUAGUUACCGCAGGGAUAACAGCAUAAUCUCUCUUGAGAGACCUAAUCGAAAGAGGGGGUUGUGACCUCGAUGUUGGACUAGAAUAUCCUAAAGGUGCA
rnacentral:rRNA from 1 species